GUUGGGUAGGGGAGCGUUCUGUAAGCCUGUGAAGGUGGCCUGUGAGGGUUGCUGGAGGUAUCAGAAGUGCGAAUGCUGACAUAAGUAACGAUAAAGCGGGUGAAAAGCCCGCUCGCCGGAAGACCAAGGGUUCCUGUCCAACGUUAAUCGGGGCAGGGUGAGUCGACCCCUAAGGCGAGGCCGAAAGGCGUAGUCGAUGGGAAACAGGUUAAUAUUCCUGUACUUGGUGUUACUGCGAAGGGGGGACGGAGAAGGCUAUGUUGGCCGGGCGACGGUUGUCCCGGUUUAAGCGUGUAGGCUGGUUUUCCAGGCAAAUCCGGUUCACUUUAAAACUGAGGCGUGAUGACGAGGCACUACGGUGCUGAAGCAACAAAUGCCCUGCUUCCAGGAAAAGCCUCUAAGCAUCAGGUAACAUCAAAUCGUACCCCAAACCGACACAGGUGGUCAGGUAGAGAAUACCAAGGCGCUUGAGAGAACUCGGGUGAAGGAACUAGGCAAAAUGGUGCCGUAACUUCGGGAGAAGGCACGCUGAUAUGUAGGUGAAGCGGUUUACCCGUGGAGCUGAAAUCAGUCGAAGAUACCAGCUGGCUGCAACUGUUUAUUAAAAACACAGCACUGUGCAAACACGAAAGUGGACGUAUACGGUGUGACGCCUGCCCGGUGCCGGAAGGUUAAUUGAUGGGGUCAGCGCAAGCGAAGCUCCUGAUCGAAGCCCCGGUAAACGGCGGCCGUAACUAUAACGGUCCUAAGGUAGCGAAAUUCCUUGUCGGGUAAGUUCCGACCUGCACGAAUGGCGUAAUGAUGGCCAGGCUGUCUCCACCCGAGACUCAGUGAAAUUGAACUCGCUGUGAAGAUGCAGUGUACCCGCGGCAAGACGGAAAGACCCCGUGAACCUUUACUAUAGCUUGACACUGAACAUUGAGCCUUGAUGUGUAGGAUAGGUGGGAGGCUUUGAAGUGUGGACGCCAGUCUGCAUGGAGCCGACCUUGAAAUACCACCCUUUAAUGUUUGAUGUUCUAACGUGGACCCGUGAUCCGGGUUGCGGACAGUGUCUGGUGGGUAGUUUGACUGGGGCGGUCUCCUCCUAAAGAGUAACGGAGGAGCACGAAGGUUGGCUAAUCCUGGUCGGACAUCAGGAGGUUAGUGCAAUGGCAUAAGCCAGCUUGACUGCGAGCGUGACGGCGCGAGCAGGUGCGAAAGCAGGUCAUAGUGAUCCGGUGGUUCUGAAUGGAAGGGCCAUCGCUCAACGGAUAAAAGGUACUCCGGGGAUAACAGGCUGAUACCGCCCAAGAGUUCAUAUCGACGGCGGUGUUUGGCACCUCGAUGUCGGCUCAUCACAUCCUGGGGCUGAAGUAGGUCCCAAGGGUAUGGCUGUUCGCCAUUUAAAGUGGUACGCGAGCUGGGUUUAGAACGUCGUGAGACAGUUCGGUCCCUAUCUGCCGUGGGCGCUGGAGAACUGAGGGGGGCUGCUCCUAGUACGAGAGGACCGGAGUGGACGCAUCACUGGUGUUCGGGUUGUCAUGCCAAUGGCACUGCCCGGUAGCUAAAUGCGGAAGAGAUAAGUGCUGAAAGCAUCUAAGCACGAAACUUGCCCCGAGAUGAGUUCUCCCUGAGACUUAGAGUCUCCUGAAGGAACGUUGAAGACGACGACGUUGAUAGGCCGGGUGUGUAAGCGCAGCGAUGCGUUGAGCUAACCGGUACUAAUGAACCGUGAGGCUUAACCUUACAACGCCGAAG
rnacentral:rRNA from 1 species